rnacentral:rRNA from 1 species
UACGGAGGGGGCUAGCGUUGUUCGGAAUCACUGGGCGUAAAGCGCACGUAGGCGGAUCCUUAAGUCGGGGGUGAAAUCCUGGAGCUCAACUCCAGAACUGCCUUCGAUACUGAGGAUCUCGAGUCCGGGAGAGGUGAGUGGAACUGCGAGUGUAGAGGUGAAAUUCGUAGAUAUUCGCAAGAACACCAGUGGCGAAGGCGGCUCACUGGCCCGGUACUGACGCUGAGGUGCGAAAGGCGUGGGGAGCAAACAGG